rnacentral:sRNA from 1 species
UCAUAACCUAAGCCACAUGCGGAGCAUAU